CCUACGGGUGGCUGCAGUGGGGGAUAUUGCACAAUGGGGGCAACCCUGAUGCAGCGACGCCGUGUGGGCGAAGAAGUAUUUCGGUAUGUAAAGCCCUAUCAGCAGGGAAGAAGAAGUGACGGUACCUGAGUAAGAAGCACCGGCUAAAUACGUGCCAGCAGCCGCGGUAAUACGUAUGGUGCAAGCGUUAUCCGGAUUUACUGGGUGUGAAGGGAGCGCAGGCGGCAGGGCAAGCCAGAUGUGAAAGCCCGCGGCCCAACCGCGGGACUGCAUUGGGAACUACCGGGCUGGAGUGGCGGAGAGGUAGGCGGAAUUGCUAGUGUAGCGGUGAAAUGCGUAGAGAUGAGGAGGAACACCAGUGGCGAAGGCGGCCUACUGGACGGUGACUGACGCUGAGGCUCGAAAGCGUGGGGAGCAAACAGGAUUAGAUACCCUUGUAGUC
rnacentral:rRNA from 1 species